UAUCUAUAUAGUUCAUUUUGUUAAACUUUUACAAUUUUUUCUUAAUAUUAAGAAGUAAUAAUAAUAAGUAGUAAUAUAAUUUGUUUGUUUAUAUUCAUUUAUUUGAAUCCAAAUUAUAUUUACUAUUAUGCCCACAAAAGACAAUGUGUGAUGCAAAUAUGGUUAUAAUAUCUAUAUAGUUCAUUUUGUUAAACUUUUACAAUUUUUUCUUAAGGUAUAAAUGCACUUUAAUUUGUAUAAAUAUGAAUGAAUCAUCGAUAAAAUGAAAUGUACAAAAAAUAAUUUUGUAUUUACUGGUUUGAUAAAACCACAAUCUAUUGUAAUAGCAUUAGUUGAAUUUAAUAUUAGUUUAGCCUAAACUAUACUUUUAUAUAUAUAUAUAUAUAUAUUGUUAUUUGAUUGAUCAAAUUUUUAGAAGUAUAAAUAAUAUAAUUAAUCAAUUAAACAAUAUUAGAUUAUAACUGUCUUAUUCAUAAAUUUGCAUGCAUACUUUAAUCAUAUAAAAAAUCUUGUAAGUAAUAUAAUUUGUUUGUUUAUAUUAAUUUAUUUGAAUCCAAAGUAUAUUUACUAUUAUGCCCACAAAAGAUAAUGUGUGAUGCAAAUAUGGUUAUAAUAUCUAUAUAGUUCAUUUUGUUNAACUUUUACAAUUUUUUCUUAAGGUAUAAAUGCACUUUAAUUUGUAUAAAUAUCAAUGAAUCAUCGAUAAAAUGAAAUUUACAAAAAAUAAUUUUGUAUUUAUUGGUUUGAUAAAACCAAAAUCUAUUGUAAUAGCAUUAGUUGAUUUUAAUAUUAGUUUAGCCUAAAUUAUACUCAUAUAUAUAUAUAUACAUAUAUCGUAGUUUGAUUGACCAAAUUUAAGAAU